rnacentral:misc_RNA from 1 species
GAUGAAGAACGUAGCGAAAUGCGAUACGUAAUGUGAAUUGCAGAAUUCAGUGAAUCAUCGAAUCUUUGAACGCAUAUUGCGCUCUCUGGUAUUCCGGAGAGCAUGCUUGUUUGAGUAUCAGUAAACACCUCAAGCCAAGAGAUAUUAUUAAUAUCUCGAGACUUGGAAUUGAGUGAUCCUAACAAAGUCGUCUUUUUUGACGAUUGAGGCAGGUCACUUGAAAUUCAGGUGCAGCUGAACUUUUCUUCUGAGCUAAAAGCAUUAUUUUAUUUAGUCUUUAUUGACUAUUACUUUUUGCUGCAGCUAACAUAAAGGAAGAAGAGCUUCUUGAAUGCUGACUGAUGCAGGAAUUUAUCAGUUUUGUGACAAAGACUGUUAGACUCGAUCUCAAAUCAAGUAAGACUACCCGCUGAACUUAAGCAUAUCAAUAAGCGGAGGA